rnacentral:rRNA from 1 species
CACGUAGUUAGCCGGGGCUUCUUAGUCAGGUACCGUCACUAUCUUCCCUGCUGAUAGAGCUUUACAUACCGAAAUACUUCCUCACUCACGCGGCGUCGCUGCAUCAGGGUUCCCCCCAUUGUGCAAUAUUCCCCACUGCUGCCUCCCGUAGGAGUCUGGGCCGUGUCUCAGUCCCAAUGUGGCCGUUCACUCUCUCAAGCCGGCUACUGAUCGUCGCCUUGGUAAGCCGUUACCUUACCAACCAGCUAAUCAGACGCGGGUCCAUCCCAUAGCGAUAAAUCUUUCAAAACAGGACCAUGCGGUCCCGCUUUCCCAUGCGGUAUUAGCAGCCGUUUCCAGCUGUUGUCCCCCUCUAUGGGGCAGGUUACCCACGCGUUACUCACCCGUCCGCCACUCAGUCAUCCCAUAUGCUUCCUUCCCCAGCAAGCUGGUUCUGUCUGGCGGGUGGAUGCUUCGUUCGACUUGCAUGUGUUAGGCACGCCGCACGCGUUCAU